AUGAAGAGUUUGAUCCUGGCUCAGAACGAACGCUGGCGGCGCGCCUAACACAUGCAAGUCGAGCGAGAAAGUGACUUCGGUCGCGAGUAAAGCGGCGAACGGGUGAGUACAACGUGGAUAAUCUACCCUAGGGUCUGGGACAACCCCGAGAAAUCGGGGCUAAUACCGGAUAAGACCACAGUAUCCGAGGAUACAGCGGUAAAAGAUUUAUCGCCUUUGGAUGAGUCCACGUCCCAUCAGGUAGUUGGUAAGGUAAAGGCUUACCAAGCCUAAGACGGGUAGCCGGCCUUAGCGGGUGAACGGCCACAUGGGGACUGAGACACGGCCCUGACUCCUACGGGAGGCAGCAGUGGGGAAUAUUGGGCAAUGGGCGAAAGCCUGACCCAGCGAUGCCGCGUGAGGGAUGAAGGCCUUCGGGUUGUAAACCUCUGUCAGGAGGGACGAUGGGACACUUGUGUCUUGACGGUACCUCCAGAGGAAGCCCCGGCUAACUCCGUGCCAGCAGCCGCGGUAAUACGGAGGGGGCAAG
rnacentral:rRNA from 1 species